rnacentral:lncRNA from 1 species
GCCCAUUUAUAAUAUUAGUGAAACAUCUAAACAUUUUAGUUAUACUUUCAAUUGGUUCCAUUUUAAAAAGCUUAUACUUAUGCACUAACAUGUUGAUUUUAGAUUCCUUUACUUGAUUGAUACCCUCAUGGGUGAUCUCAAAUCUAUCCCAUAUUUUUUUGGAUAAAAUAUAAGUAAAAAUUUAAUUAAAUUUAUUUACAUCAAGUAAACAAUAAAGCACAUUUAUUUUCUUAGCGUUCAAUUGAGCC